rnacentral:misc_RNA from 1 species
UCCGAGUUGACCCCGGCGGUCUCCCACGAGUCCCCAUCACCCCGAAGGGCAUGCUGGCAACGUAGGACAAGGGUUGCGCUCGUUGCGGGACUUAACCCAACAUCUCACGACACGAGCUGACGACAACCAUGCACCACCUGUGUACGAGUGUCCAAAGAGAACCCCAUCUCUGGGGCUUUCUCGUACAUGUCAAGCCUUGGUAAGGUUCUUCGCGUUGCAUCGAAUUAAUCCGCAUGCUCCGCCGCUUGUGCGGGCCCCCGUCAAUUCCUUUGAGUUUUAGCCUUGCGGCCGUACUCCCCAGGCGGGGCACUUAAUGCGUUAGCUGCGGCACGGAACUCGUGGAAUGAGCCCCACACCUAGUGCCCAACGUUUACAGCGUGGACUAC